ACCGCGCAUGACCCAAUAGAAUCACGGGAGUGAAGCUUACCCUUAUUUGGAAGUUUGCGGCCUGUCAUCGGCUGCCGUGUGCUCUUGGCGCGUCGAAUUUGCACAUUCAAGCGUCCCUGCGAAAGGCCGAUUAGCAACUUGCGCUAUCGUUCCGAGUGUGACGCACUAGCGGCCGCUUUUCCUUCGCCGGCGGUCUCAUUCGGUCGCUUCUUGGGCAAGUCAUGCCGCAUACUUGGACCUGUAUUGAGAUGGCUUGCUGCCCAUCAACCUCGAUUCAUCUGUGCGACGUGGCUGGUUCAACAAUCUCCGCCAUCAAGCACAAAAGCUUCCUGUAUGAAGCCGCGUCAGCAAGCACUCGGCUGGCCGUAUCUAACCAAUAGAAACUCCAAGAAACCAAGAAACUCUGCGCACUGCGAAAAAGAAGCCUCCUGAAGUUCUCUCGACGGCGUGACCUCAACCCUCGCAAGUUCCAGUUCUCCGUCCUCGAAGUCAGUGUGUCAUUCAGCUGAUCCAGGGUGAUGCAGGCCUCGUCACACAUCCGUCUCA